GGUGCCAUAGCUCAGUUGGUAGAGCAAAGGACUGAAAAUCCUUGUGUCCCCGGUUCGAUUCCUGGUGGCACCACCG
rnacentral:tRNA from 3 species